UCGUCACUUACUUUGGUUUUCCAGAGAGCUCGACCAUAUAACACCCCUAAACUCAUCCUCAAGUCCUCCAUAAGGAUUUUCAACGAUACUAUCAUCCGAGGCACGAAAUUACGAAGCAAUAACACAAGAACGAUCCCCACGACGGGAGAUGCUGCCCGAAUUUAUAUAAAUGAGCUACAAGUUUAAGUUGCAAACUUAGCCUUUAUUCAACACUGAUUUUGAAUCUCCUUAUGCAAUGGUAGAUUGAGUUGAGUUGUUUGAAGAGUUGCUUGAGAGAUAUUAAGGACUCACCAUGGUUAAGGUCCCAAUUUAUAGGUUGACAUUCCUCCUAGUAGG